GAUGAAGAACGUAGCAAAAUGCGAUAAGUAAUGUGAAUUGCAGAAUUCAGUGAAUCAUCGAAUCUUUGAACGCACAUUGCGCCCGCCAGUAUUCUGGCGGGCAUGCCUGUUCGAGCGUCAUUUCAACCCUCAAGCCCUCGGGUUUGGUGUUGGGGAUCGGCGAGCCUUUCUGGCAAGCCGGCCCCGAAAUCUAGUGGCGGUCUCGCUGCAGCCUCCAUUGCGUAGUAGUAAAACCCUCGCAACUGGAACGCGGCGCGGCCAAGCCGUUAAACCCCCAACUUCUGAAUGUUGACCUCGGAUCAGGUAGGAAUACCCACUGAACUUAAGCAUAUCAAUAAGCGGAGGA
rnacentral:misc_RNA from 1 species